GAUGAAGAACGCAGCGAAAUGCGGUAAGUAAUGUGAAUUGCAGAAUUCAGUGAAUCAUCGAAUCUUUGAACGCACAUUGCGCCCCUUGGUAUUCCGAGGGGCAUGCCUGUUCGAGCGUCAUUAUAACCCCUCAAGCUCAGCUUGGUGUUGGGGCCUGCCGCACGGGCAGCCCUUAAAAUCAGUGGCGGUGCCAUCUGGCUCUAAGCGUAGUAAUUCUUCUCGCUAUAGAGUCCCGGUGGAUGCUUGCCAUUAACCCCCAAUUUUCUAUGGUUGACCUCGGAUCAGGUAGGGAUACCCGCUGAACUUAAGCAUAUCAAUAAGCGGAGGA
rnacentral:misc_RNA from 1 species